GAUUUUUGGAACUGCUGUGGUAUAUGGAAAGCAUUCUAGAAUGGUCUAGUGGUCAUCUAAGUGUAAAACACUCCAAAUAGUGACAUACUUGAUUCAACCUUAAACUUAGGUGUUGCAUAUCAAAAUCUUGGACUCGAGGUAACUCCGAUCUAGGUUUGUUGAUCUCGUGGGUCUUUUCACAUCUCGUACUCAAGGAUGGUGGUGGGUUGUGAGAGGAGGCUUGCCAGAUGACAAAUAAUGCUCGGAUUCCGAUCUUGAAGGGUGCUGACCAUUGUAAGUCGUGGUGUUACUUGUCAAUCCAAUACGCAAUUUGUGAAUCUUCAGAUGAAGAUGAUCGUCCUACAUGAUAAGAUACGGUUUACCAGAUAGACGAUAUAACAUUUAUGACUAAAGGAAUGAUGUAGAUGAAGGCUAAAAUUCCCUAUCAACCUAGUCAAAUGAAGCGGUUGGAAAUACAUGGAGAAGAGUAAAUAUUCAAAGAAAAUGAUAAUUGUUUCUUUGAAUAUAUUGAGAGAGUUUAUAGAAUAAGUUUGGUGAGAAGGAGAAAGGAGAUGAUUUGGUCUAAUAAGCACAAGAAAAAAAAUUAAAAACUGAGCAUGAGAUUGAUAUUGCAAGUCAUGGGUUGAGUACGAAGGAUAACAGGUUGGCAUGGUGAUAGGACUUAUGAGAGAAAAAUUUAUGCUGAGGUGACAAGUCUUUGGAUUUCCUAUUAUUCCAUGUAAUGAGUUUUAGAAUACCAAGAUGUCUUGUCAUUUCAUGAAGACCCCUGACACACUUAGACAACAUG